rnacentral:lncRNA from 1 species
GGAAAAUGGACUGAGGGGACUCGGGGGAAAAUGGACUGAGGAUACUUGGGGGAAAAUGGACUGAGGAUACUCGGGGGAAAAUGGACUGAGGGGACUCGGGGGAAAAUGGACUGAGGAUACUCGCGGAGGGUGGACUGAGGAUACUCGGGGGAAAAUGGACUGAGGGGACUCGGGGAGAAAUGGACUGAGGAUACUCGGGGGAAAAUGGACUGAGGGGACUCGGGGGAAAAUGGACUGAGGGGACUCGGGGGAAAAUGGACUGAGGGGACUCGGGGGAAAAUGGACUGAGGGGACUCGGGGGAAAAUGGACUGAGGAUACUCGGGGGAAAAUGGACUGAGGGGACCUGGGGGAGGAUGGACUCAGGAUAUUCAGAGAGGAUGGACUGAGGGGACUCGGGGGAGGAUGGACUCAGGAUACUCAGAGAGGAUGGACUGAGGGGACUCGGGGGAGGAUGGACUCAGGAUACUCAGAGAGGAUGGACUGAGGGGACUCAGGGGAGGAUGGACUGAGGAUACUUGGGAGAGGAUGGACUGAGGAUACUCGGAGAGGAUGGAUUGAGGGGACUCGGGGGAGGAUGGACUGAGGAUACUCGGAGAGGAUGGACUGGGGGGACUCGGGGGAGGAUGGACUCAGGAUACUGAGAGAGGAUGGACUGAGGGGACUCAGGGCAGGAUGGACUGAGGAUACUCGGAGAGGAUGGACUGAGGGGACUCGGGGGAGGAUGCACUGGGGAUACUCAGAGAGGAUAGACUGAGAGGACUUGGGGGAGGAUGGACUGAGGGGACUCUGGGGAAAAUGGACUGAGGAUACUAGCGGAAGAUGGACUGAGAAGACUCGGGGAAGAAUGGACUGAGGAUACUCGCGGAGGACGGACUGAGAAGACUCGGGGGAGGAUGCACUGAGGAUACUCGCGGAGGAUGGACUGAGAAGACUCAGGGAGGAUGGGCUGAAGAUACUCGGGGAGGAUGCACUGAGGAUACUUGGAGAGGAUGGACUGAGAGGACUCGGGGAAGAAUGGACUGAGGAGACUCGGAGAGGAUGGAUUGAGGAUACUCUGGGGAGGAUGCACUGAGGGCGCUCUGGGAAGGAUGAACUGAGGAGACUCAUGAAUAGUCUCCCACUACUCUAUCAGAGAUAACCACAUUUUAGCAAACACUCCGUUGGAGUCACCCCAUGCACACAUGUGUACAUGCAGCCAAGCCUUUUCCCAUGCUAUUAGCUGGUGCAAGUUCCAUCCCUGGAUUUUAAGCAUGGGUCGCCUGGAAGAGCUUUGUUAGAGGAAGAAGAAAGAGGUGUCUCUCAGGAAAAUCCUGGUUCCCAAAGUUGCACAUUAUGUCAGAUGUACCUGUCUUUGACGGCUGGGAGAGCGGACAAGACCCUGCCCCAGCCCUGGCCAGGAAUGGUGGCUGGUGAGCCCCUAGUUGCAGGCAACCUGGACCUGUCCUCGCAGCACCUGAAGAGGGGAAAGGAGACUUGAGGAGAAUGACUGUCCCCAGGCGACCGCCCAUGAACACCUGAGCACCCAUCUGAUAAACAGCCUGGAGUCACUGGAGAGUGACAGCUUCCAUGUAUAUUCAUAUAUGCUCACCAUUAUUUUUCAUAACCACAUCACAUUGCAUCAUUUUAAUGUAUCAUAAUUUUCUCAACCAGCCCCAUCCAGAAGCUUCUUAACCCAAUCUCUUUCUAAGGCCCUCCAAAGGGCUGGAAGAGGGAGCAUCUUUAUUUUGCUGCUGCCAUCAGGGGUCUUGGGAGAGUCCCCUUGGAUCCUGAUUUUUCAGGGCUUGAUGCCUGAGAAUAACUGACAGAAAUUUUGAGAACUGUGCCCCCCGUAAUAACAAUAAUUAACAUUGUUUUCAGUACUCUGGGCCAGGCACUGUUCUAAGCACUUUGUACAUAUUAUCUAAGUGACUCUUCACAACAACAACCUUCUGAGGAGUAAAUUGGUGAGCAUCAUUCAUUCAAAUGCACCAUGAGAAGUGUAGUGGGGAGAUGCAAAAG